UUCGAUUCUACAAGCUCCGGAAGGAGAUUCAGCGUGUGGAUCUCGCGUGAAGCCAAGGAUUCGGUGGACGCUUCGAGGAGUUGAGGCGUUGACGCUGCAAGGAGUUGCGGCGAGGUCGAUUGGAGGAUUCNAUAAACUUAGAAAAGAAGUUUUGAAGGCGCUAGUUGAGAAGUUCUGAGGUAAGUUGAAAUGCUUUAGGCGGUUGGAUAUUUUAGGAAUUGUUAGAGGGGGAAACCGCUAAAGCACUGUUUUAUAUGAUGGUACGAGCAUGUGUUGAGUCUUUGUUAUUUUUCUUCUAGUAGCGUUAGUGGUUUGCUGCUAGAGGACGUACUAGCUAGGUUAUUUUCUUUUAAUAUAAAAAGUGUUGGAAUUAUGUCUGAGAUACUAAAUCUGUGAUCCUCAGAACUUCAGAACUAAAGGACGUUUUGUUAAAUAGAUUCUUUAAUGUAGUUUUGUAAUCUAAGAAUAUGACAUUCCUGACUCUAAAAACUGUCACGUUGAUUUGAGAGACAACUACUACAAAUACACACAUUAAAUUAAUGUAUUCGUGAGCAGUUCAAAAUCCGAAGAACAAAGACUCAUUCGGAAAGCUCGGCACCUCAGGUAUGAAGAAUAGAUCAUUUGUGGUGAAGGUACUUAAUUGGAAUAAGUUCAGAAGCCCUAAAUUACUUUAAAACUCUUUUACUGAACUUUUCUGUGUUUUGAAACCGAUCCCAGAGUUGAAGAGACCGGAUCCCCUAAGGUCCUCACUGCGUGAAUUUUGAUGCACUCCUAGUCUACUUCUAAGUCUUCUAAACAUCUAAAUAAGCCAUGGGGGUCAUCUUAAAGUUUAAGGCUUUGAAUUUCUACUCAUUCUAAACCCUAGAAACUUGUUUUUUCCGUUCUUAUGGUUCUAUUUCAAUAAUAAGUUUCUAAUAAUCAACGAUCGACUUGAUUCUUUAUUUUUUUUUUAUUUGUGAACUUAUACGAGAAUCAAGUAGAUGUUUGAUUAAAAGGUAGACCCUCAUCGCUUAUGGGAUUCUAAGGCUUAAUCACCACAAAUCUUCGAUUCUACAAGCUCUGGAAGGAGAUUCAGCGUGUGGAUCUCGUGUGAAGCCGAGGAUUCGGUGGACGCUUCGAGGAGUUGAGGCGUUGACGCUGCAAGGAGUUGCGGCGAGGUCGAUUGGAGGAUUCCUAUCGAUCGAGGACCGGCGAAGAUCACCAUCAACGGGAAUUCGGUAAAUUGAGUCGUGUAUUUUUGUCAAAAUCACUUAUACUCAAGUUUUCUUAGUGGAUUUUUUUCGCGUGAUCGGUCCCGUGGGUUUUUCACUCUGAAUUGGAGUUUUCCCACGUUAAAUUCUCGGUGUGUUGUUUUAUUUUUCGCUAUUUCAUUUUAUUUGCAUCGAGAUUUUUGAGUUUGCCGUUUUUACACCUAUUCACCC
rnacentral:lncRNA from 1 species